rnacentral:rRNA from 1 species
GAUGAACGCUGGCGGCGUGCCUAAUACAUGCAAGUCGAGCGAAUGGAUUAAGAGCUUGCUCUUAUGAAGUUAGCGGCGGACGGGUGAGUAACACGUGGGUAACCUGCCCAUAAGACUGGGAUAACUCCGGGAAACCGGGGCUAAUACCGGAUAACAUUUGAACCGCAUGGUUCGAAAUUGAAAGGCGGCUUCGGCUGUCACUUAUGGAUGGACCCGCGUCGCAUUAGCUAGUUGGUGAGGUAACGGCUCACCAAGGCAACGAUGCGUAGCCGACCUGGGAGGGUGAUGGGCCAGACUGGGACUGAGACACGGCCCAGACUCCUACGGGAGGCAGCAGUAGGGAAUCUUCCGCAAUGGACGAAAGUCUGACGGAGCAACGCCGCGUGAGUGAUGAAGGCUUUCGGGUCGUAAAACUCUGUUGUUAGGGAAGAACAAGUGCUAGUUGAAUAAGCUGGCACCUUGACGGUACCUAACCAGAAAGCCACGGCUAACUACGUGCCAGCCGCCGCCGUAA